UAAGGAAUAUUGGACAAUGGUCGCAAGACUGAUCCAGCCAUGCCGCGUGCAGGAAGACGGCCCCAUGGGUUGUAAACUGCUUUUGUACCAGAGAAAACCUAUCUACGUGUAGAUAGCUGAUAUUAUGGUAAGAAUAAGCAUCGGCUAACUUCGUGCCAGCAGCCGCGGUAAGACGAAGGAUGCAAGCGUUAUCCGGAUUCAUUGGGUUUAAAGGGUGCGUAGGCGGGCUUGUAAGUCAGUGGUGAAAUCUCUCAGCUUAACUGAGAAACUGCCAUUGAUACUGCAGGCCUAGAGUAUAGAUGACGUUGGCGGAAUAUGACAUGUAGUGGUGAAAUACUUAGAUAUGUCAUAGAACACCGAUUGCGAAGGCAGCUAACGAAACUAUAACUGACGCUGAGGCACGAAAGUGCGGGGAUCAAACA
rnacentral:rRNA from 1 species